rnacentral:SRP_RNA from 1 species
GCCAGGCAUGGUGGCCUGUGCCUGUAAUCCCAGAUACUUGGGAGGCUGAGGCAGGAGAAUUGCUUGAACCCAGGAGGUGGAGGUUGCAGUGGGCCGAGAUCGCGCCAUUGCACUCCAGCCUGGGCAACAGAGCAAGACUCUGUCUCAA